CAUAGGUGGAGAGAGCUUGGAUGGGUGAUUGAAGCUAAGAGGUCCAGUAGGAGCAAGCUGGACCUAGGAUGGACAUCGGGGUUACACUGCACAAGUCCAAAAGGAACGUUAGGCAACUGGAACGAUACAGCUUCGAGGAGAUGUUGUCAUAUGCCUUGGUGAUAGUGAAUGGGUACCCAUACACCUAUAAGAAGGCCAUAGAGUGCCAGGAC
rnacentral:lncRNA from 1 species